GAUGAACGCUAGCUACAGGCUUAACACAUGCAAGUCGAGGGGCAUCACAGUGUAGCAAUACACGGGUGGCGACCGGCGCACGGGUGCGUAACACGUAUCCAAUCUGCCCGUUACUCGGGGAUAGCCUUCUGAAAGGAAGAUUAAUACCCGAUGGCAUGUAUUUCCGGCAUCGGAGAUACAUUAAAGAUUUAUCGGUAACGGAUGAGGAUGCGUACGAUUAGCUGGUUGGCGGGGUAACGGCCCACCAAGGCAACGAUCGUUAGGGGUUCUGAGAGGAAGGUCCCCCCACACUGGAACUGAGACACGGUCCAGACUCCUACGGGAGGCAGCAGUGAGGAAUAUUGGUCAAUGGUCUGACGACUGAACCAGCCAUGCCGCGUGAAGGUGACGGCCCUAUGGGUCUUAAACUUCUUUUGUAAGGGAGCAAUAAGCCUCACGUGUGGGGUGAUGAGAGUACCUUACGAAUAAGCAUCGGCUAACUCCGUGCCAGCAGCCG
rnacentral:rRNA from 1 species